GUUUUUUAGUUAACAUUUGAUUAAAUAAAGAUGGUGAAAUUUUUUUAUUGAGGUGAAAUUUUUAAAUAAAAAGAAGUUCUUUGAUAUCUAUUGGAACUAAGAAGUUUAGAUAAAAAACCAGGAUUAGAUACCCUGUUAUUCUAGAUUAAAAUGUAAAUAAGGGUAGUAAAAGUUAUUCUUCAAACCCAAAGAUUUUGGCGGCAUCCUAUCCUAAUAGAGGAGCUUGUUCUGUAAUUGAUAGUCCCCACUUAAUCUUACUUUUUCUUGUAUAGCUUGUAUACCGCCGUUGUCAGAUUACUUUAGAAGAAUGUUUUCGGAAAAUAUAUUUUUUUUCUUCAGGUCAAGGUCAGUUUAUGGGAAAGUAGAAAUGAGCUCAAUUUUAAAUAAAAAAACGAAUUCUAGGCUUAAAAAUUGGAGGAAGGUGGAUUUAUUAGUAAAUCUAUUUAAGUAUAAUAGCUUGAAUGUGGCAAUGGGAUGUGUACAUAUCGCCCGUCACUCUCUUCUUAAGAGGAGAUAAGUCGUAACAAA
rnacentral:rRNA from 1 species